CUCACGGGUCCUUCGGAAUGCUCACGCUGGGGGAAGCCAGCCAUCACGCGAGACGUAUUCCCAAGUAUUCUGGGCCCCCAUGCUGUAGGGAAGCCAAACUAGUCAUGUAGGGAGGCUGUGGAGAGAGAGAGAUUCUUGACCAGUCCCCCUCCGCUCAGCCGCCCCACUGGUCCCAGACCGAGAAUCACACAUUCGAACAGAAAAGCGUUCGCAUCUCUCCAGCCCCAUGGCACCUGCGCCAGCAUUCCUAGUUGCAAUCUCCGUAUUUCCCAGUCAAGUCCCUGCCUGAUGGUAUAGCUACUUCCCAAUCCACGUGGAGCCCUGCUUCUGCUGAGCUGCCCUCAACUCCCUUUGGCCUCUCAGUGGCUCCGCACGGCUCACCUUAUGCCCACUGGAGCCAGAACCCACGAUGGAGACAGAUGAAGCCACGCCGGAGGUCUUCCAAAGGGGCAAUCCCAGAGAGGUAUGGAAUUUGACCCAAGGCUUGAUUUUCUCAAUGCGGAAGCACACGGCAUGACCAUCAACUUGAAGGAAGCUGGGAGCAGUCAGCUAGACAACGCGAGGCAGAGAGGAAUUCAUGAAGAUUUCUCGCAAGAUCCAAGAAGCUUUUUUUAAAAAAGAGAGUCUUUGGGGGCUCGUUUUGGUUAAAUACUACAUUAAGAAAUAGGUGCCUUCUUUUGGCUUUGUAUUUCCUUUUGUUUCCUCCACCUCCAGCUAUCUGUACUUUGAUCUGGUCCACAUGUCAGUCCCAAGACUGACAUCACAAUGACAAAAGCUUGACUGUGAGUGAAGAACACAGCCGAACGGAUAUAUGGCAGCAAGCAUUCCGUAUCCAAGGGCGCUCGGAAUGUUCGAGAAUGUUCAUCACUUCUUCCUAUCCGUUAGCUAUCAGUAUCACACAGGAAGGAAUCUGGUUUUCCUCCUUUUCAGAGACAGCCUCACAGCCACACUGAGAUAAUGGGUUUCACGUGGAGUUUUCCGGGCUGCGGACAAGGGGAAGGCUUGGGUUUAGGGUGAAGAGCCUAUCUUGGAUUUUGGAGUGGAACUGUUUGGCUCUGUGCCCUCAUGCUACAACGAGCUGAUUAGGGGACCCCUCGGAUCUGAAAACAGAGCCCCUUGGCGUGAUCAACAUUAAGUGAGAUAAUAAACGGGAAGCACUGAAUCUGGUUCCUCAAACCUAAGGGUCCUGAAGAAAUUACAGCUAAAGACAAUUUUAUCGUAGUUUUCAAUGCUAUUAUUUUGUUAAAAGGUUUGUUUCCGUCUGUUUCCUGAUCCUCGUACGUCAAGAGUAUGCCCCAGACACCCAAAUCUCACAACAGAUGGAUCUACUUCUCUUAAUCCCAGAGUCCUUUCCUUCUGGCUGUGAGAGAUUGCGUCUCGGCUAAUUUUCCUGGAGUCUUCCUGAAGAGCCGCGAGGAUGCCCUGGAAUAAGGGUGCGAGAGUCCUAACUCUGUGCUCUGGGGGAGACUUCUCUGCUUCAGAUCACGUUGGGUCCGAGGGACCCCCAUUUGGAUUUUGGAGGUAUUGUUAUUACCAUCGGGUGACAAAUAGAAAUACCAGCUUGCAGAUACAAAGCGUCCACUUGCAGCCUGGGCGGCUUAAUCCUGACAACUCCUGGUCCCAUAGGUAUUGUCAC